CAAAGACGUAAAAAAAUGACGUGUUUGGCUCUUCUCUGAUUUUUAUCAUGUGGAAAAAAUGAUUGCUUUGGCGACACGUUUACAUUUUCUCAUUGGCUAUUUAAUGGAAACAAUGAGCAGUAAAUUAAAAUCUAAAUAGUUGUAGGAGUCAGGUAAAGUUGUGUGUCUAUACUGUGGGCUUGACCUUUCUUCUGCUGCCAUUCAUGAGUGUGUCAUGGGAGAUUAGAGUUUUGUAGAAAGAGAGAGAGAAAGAAAGCACGUGCUCGCUGAACUGCUCUAUUUGUUUCUGGGCAUAAAGCCAAGCGUUCUGACUCUCUACACCUUGGCCUUGAGAGGGGCCACCGGCUCUUUAAAAUACGCCAUUGUCAAGUGUCUCCAGUGUAUCUUCAUGGACUGCUGGGCUUCAUUCUGUUUGACCUCUGGUGUUCAGUGACUGACCCUGUGCUGUGCAGGCACUCACCCCUGGAGAGAUACAAUGCCUUGGCUGAAUUUCCCUUCAUCCGUCCAAUGGAGACCUGACCGGGCCGAACAAAAGCCACCUCGCUGAACUGAACUCGAGCGCUCGCAACAGAGAAUACAGAACAUGGCAUCUUUAAAAGAGCUUGUCUACAUCAAGUCCCCUAAUUGACACAGGGGUGAAAAGAACUGCCUAAUUGCAUGAUUUAGACUCACAAUACGCCCUGACAGAUGACACUAAUCACAGCGGGAAUUAUUAAGCCAUGUUUCUUGCUUAGACAGCAAAUGAGACACUAUAAAAGGUCACACAUAUUGGUCUUAUGAUACGAAUGCAGAAUGUGGUUAAAAUGGUGCAUACGCAGCAGGGGUCAUGUGUGUGAGUGUAUACUUACUCAUUAAAAUGCAUUCAGCACAGCUCAGCAUCGCAGAGUCAAUAUUAAACUAUGUUUAAUGCGGUCCUUUGCACCUGCGAUGUCCCAAAAGACUAUAAUGAGACACAACUAACAAAGAUUGAUUGGACAUAAGUAUGAUUGUUAGUAUAAAGACAAUCACUGAAAGUAUUUUAUUUUAUUUUUGCUAAUGGUUAGCAAGUUGUAACUGAGUGCCAGGCGUUUUUUUUUUUUCUAAAUAUGUAAUCGUACAACUAAAAUCAAGUAGUCAAACAUACAGCUUGUAAGCUGUUUGUUCGUUUCAGCAGCGGUUGUCGAGUUGACUGUGGUGUGUUGGUUGGUGUGGGUUUUGGUUGUUUUUGUGGUCAGUGGUGGAAAGUCAGAUUGUGACUUUUUUAUGUUUGUUGGGAUCACCUGAUUUUUUUUUUUUUACUUAGUAAUAUAUUAUAUUAAUCAAGAUUAAUAAUGAAAGAUCAAUAUUUUUUAGAGAGAGUUUGUUUU
ensembl:lncRNA